rnacentral:rRNA from 1 species
GAUGAACGCUGGCGGCGUGCCUAAUACAUGCAAGUCGAGCGAACGGACGAGAAGCUUGCUUCUCUGAUGUUAGCGGCGGACGGGUGAGUAACACGUGGAUAACCUACCUAUAAGACUGGGAUCACUUCGGGAAACCGGAGCUAAUACCGGAUAAUAUUUUGAACCGCAUGGUUCAAAAGUGAAAGACGGUCUUGCUGUCACUUAUAGAUGGAUCCGCGCUGCAUUAGCUAGUUGGUAAGGUAACGGCUUACCAAGGCAACGAUGCAUAGACGACCUGAGAGGGUGAUAGGCCAAACGGGACCUGCGACACGGUCCAGACUCCUACGGGAGGCAGCAGUAGGGAAUCUUCCGCAAUGGGCGAAAGCCUGACGGAGCAACGCCGCGUGAGUGAUGAAGGUCUUCGGAUCGUAAAACUCUGUUAUUAGGGAAGAACAUAUGUGUAAGUAACUGUGCACAUCUUGACGGUACCUAAUCAGAAAGCCACGGCUAACUACGUG